GCCUGGGUUACAUAUCAGGGACAGAGACAUCUCUGUGGAGAAUUCAUUACAAUGUAUCUGUUUGUUUUCAGUUAUGUUUGUGGAGGAACUCAAAAUGUUUAUGUGGCUGUUAAAAGAAACAAACACUGAAACUGAAGAGAGUCACACACGCAGCUGUGGCAGAGCAGCGGGGCUGGUGUGCCCAGCUGUGGGGCGGCUCUGCCGUGAGGGGACGGGCGGCAGCGCCUGCGAGGAGCCCGUGACCUUCAGGUGACCCCGGCCGUGCCCUCCAGGUGACCCCGGCCCGGCCGCCUCAGAGAGAAAGGGCGGGAACCAUGAGGCGGGAAGCAAAAACGGCAACGGCGGGAAAAAGAAAGCGGCGUUCUGGGCUCCCAUUGGCUGGCGGGCGUGAGGAGAUAGCUAUAUAAGGCAAUCGGACACCACAGGUGUUAGAAUCAGCGUGUGAGGAGAUUUCGCGUGCUUCGAGGGGAAGGCGGCAAUCAGCAUCCAAGGACUGAGGGGCGGCGGGACAGCUCCUUUUGCCCAGUCUGCCCGCCUCUGUGACCCUCCGCAGCACCGGCUGGAGCUCCGCAGUGCAUCAGCAUGGAGCCACUGCAGAAGAAAGAAGCAGCAAGCGUGUGGAACCUGGAGGCAACAGCGAGCAAGAGGAGGAAACAGAAGCCUGAGGAUGGGGGGGAAAGAGAGAGGCUCUCUGGGCAAAAUCACCUCCCUGUUAGCAGGGGCAUAGUCACAUUUCAGUCGAGUGUUGCUGGCACCUUGGGUGACCAGACAGGUUUUGUGCUGGGCGACCUCCCUGUAAGCAGGGCUGU